GGAUGGUGAAUUUAACUGGUAAACCAGUUAUAGCAUUGUUUUGUAGGACAGUUACUGGACAUUUUGAAUCAUCACCAACUUUGUUUAAGGUUAGUCCUCCCUUUGUGGGGAUGUUAUCAGUUGCUGGAGAAAUAAAGUAUUGUUUACCAAAGACAACAGGCUUACCAUUUGUGUCAAAAACUGGUUGACCUGCAUUGUUUGGUGAAAGGUUGGAGAGGAAAGUAAAUAGGAGGAAGGAAAGAGUAAGGGAUAAGGUAGGAUUCAUGACUUUGCUUUGUUUAUACUUUUUGUGUUUUGUUGGUUUCAUUACCUCUGCUCUAUAUAGUAUGAUAUAGUAAACAAGAUUUUCACACUCCACUAUUUAAUAUUUUAUAUCUGUAUAAUAUUUCUAUAAUUCUAUUUUAUUUUAUAUAAUUAUUAUAUAAGAAUGAAUGAAAGGUAGACGAAUAAUAAAUUGAGUUGUUAAAUUUUUUGGAUGUCAAAAUUAAUCAUCCAAAAUAUUGUUUUUUUUUUUUUAAAUUAUAAUGACUAUUAAUCUUUGUCGGAGAAUCUCUGGAAUACAUAAGAUAAAUUUCUCAUUUCGAAUUAAAUUUUCAUGAUAUACAUGAAUUACCAAUGACUCAUCUAAUUAAAUUCUUCUAGAUAGUUGGUUACAAGUUAGUUGUGGGUAUCAUACGCAAAUCUACUUAGGUGGUUUAUUCUCAUUGAUUGUUAGACAAAUAUCACCAAAUUAUCAAGGGAUAGAGUAUGUCUCACUUUAUAUAAUACAUCUAUAAUUGUAUUCUAUAUAAUUAUGAAAGAUAGGUGAGUAAUAAGUUGUGUUGCUAAAAUUUUUUUCUUCCAUAAAAAAAAAUUGUGUUGCUAAAUUUUUUGGAUGUUAGAAUCAAUCAUCCGAAAUAUAAUUAUAAAAGAUAGACGAGUAAUAAGUGUUUUUGGUUAAUAGGCAGUACUAAUCUCUAUCAAAGAAUCUUUAGAAUACAUAAGAUAAAUUUUCCACUAAUUUUCAUGAUAUACAAGAAUAAGAUAUCAAACUUCUCACUAUUUACUAAUCGUUAGUUGGUUCAGUGGUGAUUGAGGUUAAACUUGGUAGGGAGGAACACGGUUUGAUCUCCACAAUUGCGAUCAGGAGGAGGCUGAAACCAUNNNNNNNNNNNNNNNNNNNNNNNNNNNNNNNNNNNNNNNNNNNNAAUUGCGAUCAGGAGGGGGCUGAAACGAUUUGAUACAAGAACUGAACCCGAACCAGAUUAAACAAUCAGUGGGCCGGAUACUAAUAGUGAAAACCAAAAAAACUUCUCACUAUUUAUUUAAGGGUAAUGUUAACAUAUCCCUAAAAGCACAUGUCAACGAUUCUUUAAAUAAUUAUGAGUAAUUGUUUCUUGAAACAAAUAACUUUUGACUUUAAACAAAUAAAAUGCACAAUUUUUAAUUCAAAUUUUCUAUUGUAUCUUGUAAUACAUUAACACGUGCCCUUAGAAUAUCUUUUAGUUUUUGCCUUUAUUUAAAGGCGUAAAACCUUUAGAGCGUGUUUGGUUUGACGAAAAAAUAAAAGAAAAAAAAAAUUAAAAUCAAUAAAUGAAUUCUGAUUAACUUAAUCCAAGUUUAUUUAUUGGUUUAUGUAUUUUUCUGUCUUCCCUAUUUUUUUUUUCUUCCAUAAACCAAAGAUACCCUUGGUAUUGGAAUCAAUUUAUUAUGAUUAUUAUUAUUUUUUUAUUUUUUUACAAAUUUUAUUAUUAAUUUAAUUUAAUAACUGAUUUAAUUAUUAUGAUUGUAUUUGGUACAAGCAUGACCAAUCUGUACUGUAACUCACGUGGCCAACAAACUAUGUUUGACCAUAUCCUUUUUAUACUUUGUUUCGAUCUCUUUCGUGCUUUUGAAAAUAACUUUAAUUUUAAAAUAAGUAAUUUUUUUAAAAUAAAGGAUUAGGAAUCAGCUAUGCAAAGUGUUGUUGUGAGUAUAAAAAGAGCAUUAGGAUGCUGCUCUGUUUCGGCAUGUGCAAACAGAGCAGCAUCAGCUAUGCAAAGUGUUGUUGUGAGUAAAUGCAACAUUGACCUUCUUUUAAGGGUAUUAAACUUGGCAUUGAAAUGUUUAUCCGUGCAAAAACAUAGUGCUUAAUUGGAUGCACUAUGUUUUAGCUCAACUUAGGACCCGUCGACUUUGAGGUGGACUCAAAAAGAGUGGUCGACAGUUUUUCAUCAUCUAUUUUAUCCGGUUCUUAUUAUAAGAAGAAGUUUAUUUUUUAGAUUCAUGGAAUGAUUGAUGUAUCUUGUCCAUAUUAUUGAGUAGAUCAGAGUUUUUCUAAUUUUUAUAACGACUAAAAUAUUGAGUUUAUCCGGAAACAAGUAAAUAAGGUUACCCAUAAUCUUACUAAAGUGACCUUAUUUUCAACUAGUCACCAAGUGUUAAUUGAUAUACCUCAUUGUAUUAAUGAAAUGUUAUUAUAAAUCUUUCUCUGUAUAAAAAAUACGUUUUAAGCAUCACAUGUAUCACACUAGCUUAUAAAUAAUUGGUGUAUAUGUAUCAUUCAUGAUAUUAAGUUUUUUACUCUCUUGAAUGCUAACAACUGAUCGACAUGUCUACAAUUAUUGCUCUAAAAUAUUAAUAGACAACAAUCUGCUUUAUAGAUAAUGCUUUAUCUCUAUGGUGCCACACAUCAUAUAGGAAGAUAAUGUUUUAUCGAUUUGUGCAAGAGAAUCAGAAAAAAAAUAUUUUAUAUUGAAUUAUUUAUCUACAUUUAUAUUAUAUCUAGUACAUCUUUAAUCUUUAAUAGUUCAUAAAGUAGAAAGUUUGACGAAACACGUGUUACACAAUACAUCUUUCAUAAGUUUUUUGAUAAAUUAAGGUUUACCCUUUGCAAUGUUAAGAUUUCGUUAAUUUAGCUUUCAUUGAAUAUGAUAGAUUAAGAUUCCGCGUAAGUGAUAACGUGAUAUGAUUAAUGAGAGGAGUAAACCGAAAUUCAGGAACCUUAGAAGCAAAUGGACGGAAUCUUAAGUCAUAAUACAUUUUCCAUAUAAACACGAAUGGUUGAGAACAUGAUCAUUCAGGAAAUGGCCAUGUUGGCCGAAGUCCCUCAGAUUGAGGGACAUGGCCACAUUCACUUGAAUCAAGAGUCGGCCGACGUUUAGAAGUGCACAACACUAAUGUCGUCUUAGCCUAUAAACAAUAAAAUGAUGCCACCUAAUGACGAUUUCAGCAAGUGUACUGAAAUCAUACAAGUAGUAAAAUCCAAGUGUCAAACUUAAGGAUCGUGCUUAUUAUCGAUAAUCAUCGAUAAUUAUAACAACUAAAAUUACAUAUAAUUUGAUAAUAAAAAUGUCAGAGAUAAAUUUUCAUUUAAUUUUGGAUUUUGUCAUCAAACUAUUAAUCAGAUAAAGAAAUGGAUUACAAGAUCCAUUCCUACAAACUUGAUUAAUUAUUAUAAUUAAGAAAGUGUUACAAUCACUCUUCCACUUAUUCAUCAAAAGAAGUACCUAAAUACUUUGAGAUUUAACAGAAUCAGCAUCAACAAAUACAACAGAAUAAGCAUCAGUUAUAGUCAAAAUCAAACGUGAACCAGUUUCUCCAGCAUUAAUCUCUUGUAAUCCAAGAUAACCACAAUCACCAGUACUAUCCAAACAAAAACCAAUUUUAUAACUACCAUCUUUUCCAUGUUUCACAACUAAAAAUUUUCCACUGAUUAUUUCUACACCAGGAUAAUUUGAAGGACCACCAAUACCAACAUAGCUUUGUUGAUUAUUACCAUCAACAAACAGCAACCAUUUUGAUGAUUCAGCACAAUCAGGCUUCUCGGUGAACUCGAUAUCAAGAUCGGUACCUGUUACGAUGUUAUCGGUGGUACUUUCCGGGAUGGUGAAUUUAACUGGUAAGCCUGUAAUGGCAUUGUUUUGUAGGACAGUUACUGGACAUUUUGAAUCAUCACCUACUUUGUUUAAGGUUAGUCCUCCCUUUUUGGGGUUAUCAGCUGCUGGAAAAAUGAAGUAUUGUUUACCAGAGACAACAGGGUUACCAUUUGUGUCAAAAACUUGCUGAACUGCAUUGUUUGAUGGAAGAUUGGAGAGAAAAGCAAAUAGGAGGA
rnacentral:lncRNA from 1 species